AUUCAUCUCGUCGGCGGCAAGUCGUCGGCGGUGAAAUACAGUCAGGGUUCUCUCUGUCGGUUGGUGUAGUGGGGGAGACAACGUCGACGAAGUUGCGAGCAAAUCGACGCUCCUGAGGCGAAGGUUCCUGGAUGGGGUGAGAAGUUCCUUCGCCAGCGCGGGCGCGCGAGAUCGACGCGUCUGUUGCGGCGGACGUUGUCGCACGAGGUUGCGGCGGACUUGGGCGGCGAGGCUUCUCGAAUCCGCACGCCCGUGGCUUGUGCGGAGCUUGGGCGGCGUUUGUUCUGGUCAUGUCAAUAACACCACUUUAUACAUCAUGAAUGAUACAAGGACUGGACCGUCAAAGUUCUAUCAGAUGAAGCAAAAUUUGCAACUAAAGGGCGACACAAAUGAAACAAGGGUGCAGCAUCAAGAAUAUUUGUUUGAGGAAAAGCAACCAACUGCAGUGCCACCACUACAGAAUGAUUCUUCUGCAGUUCAGGAUGAUUUGGUUGAGAAUGAGGUAGUUGAGGAUGAUGUAGUACCUGACAAUCAAGAUAAUCUGACAGAGAAUGUACCUGCUAAGAAGAAAAACCAUGUGCUGAUAUGUUUUUCACCACCAUGAUGUAAUGUAUCAACCACUAUAUCUUUUGUAGCUUGAUGUUUUUUCUUACA